rnacentral:rRNA from 1 species
CCCGUCAAGCCAUGGAAGCUGGGUGUACCUAAAGUCGGUUGCACUAGAAGUCGGUGGGCUAACCCGCAAGGGGGGCAGCCGCCUAAAGUGUGAUCGGUAAUUGGGGUG